GGUUGCGAUCAUACCAGCACUAAUGCGCCGGAUCCCAUCAGAACUCCGCAGUUAAGCGUGCUUGGGCGAGAGUAGUACUAGGGUGGGUGACCCCCUGGGAAGUCCUCGUGUUGCAACCC
rnacentral:rRNA from 1 species